rnacentral:rRNA from 1 species
UACGGGGGGGGCAAGCGUUGUUCGGAAUUACUGGGCGUAAAGGGCUCGUAGGCGGCCAACUAAGUCAGACGUGAAAUCCCUCGGCUUAACCGGGGAACGGCGUCCGAUACUGGAUGGCUUGAAUCUGAGAGAGGGAUGCGGAAUUCCAGGUGUAGCGGUGAAAUGCGUAGAUAUCUGGAGGAACACCGGUGGCGAAGGCGGCAUCCUGGAUCGGUAUUGACGCUGAGGAGCGAAAGCCAGGGGAGCAAACGG